rnacentral:rRNA from 1 species
UACGGGGGGGGCAAGCGUUGUUCGGAAUUACUGGGCGUAAAGGGCUCGUAGGCGGCCAACUAAGUCAGACGUGAAAUCCCUCGGCUUAACCGGGGAACUGCGUCUGAUACUGGUUGGCUUGAAUCCGGGAGAGGGAUGUGGAAUUCCAGGUGUAGCGGUGAAAUGCGCAGAUAUCAGGAGGAACACCAGCGGCGAAGGCGGUGCUCUGGGCCGGUACUGACACUGAGGAGCGAAAGCGUGGGUAGCAAACAGG